rnacentral:lncRNA from 1 species
GUGUGUGCUGCCUUUUGCUUCUUGCAUCCUAACGAGCUUCAACAGACACAAAUUAAGGAGCAAUGGGAGUAUCCACAAAUUUCCCCAGCCUUCAGGGCAUCUUUCUGUUUUAAGGCUGUAACUCAGGCCUCAUCUGGGGAGGCCACUGAAAGUACCACACACUUUCCAAGUCUCAGGAUCACCAGGGAGGGAUUCUUGCUCUUGCUCUGUUACCUUUUCUCUUGUUACUAAGGCCACUCAUAGAAAUCCAAAUUGUUUCUCUUUCCCUUUUUAGUUCUAGGAUGACAACUCAGCUGUUUCUGGAAAAAUUACAACCUUGGCCAGGACGUUCCAAAUAAGUUAAAACAAUCUCUACAUCUGAGGGAGACAGCCUUUUACGAUGGGCUCUUCCUGUAUUACCCAGGUUGACCCUCCUGCCUCAGACUCCUGAGAAGCUGGCAUUAGGGUGUGCACCACCAUUCCCAUCUGAAUAAGGGGCUGAGGACAGAGCAGAGAAGAAACAUUGAGGGAGAAGUAAAUGAGGGGAGAGAAGAAGAAACUGAGGAGGCCGUGAGCCUGGAUGCUGCAUGGGGGAGUGAAGAAUUUGAAUUGCUGGGAUGGCCAAGAAGUGUUUGGAGUCCAGCAUCACUCACUGGGGACAUGAUGACGUUUGUUCUGCAGCAGAUAUUUGAGCAGAAGAAUAUUACGGAGGAAUAAAAGGCAACUUAGAAUCACAGCACUUGAUACAACCUCAGUAGGUCAUCUGGAAGAGAAAUGGCUUUUGGAAAUGGUCAUCAGAUUUGAUAUCUAACUAUGGCAAAGAGUGUCAAGAGACUUUCAAG